rnacentral:rRNA from 1 species
CGAAGACAAUAGGUUGCUAAGCCGCGAGGUGGAGCCAAUCCAGCAAAACUUCCCUCAGUUCAGAUUGCAGGCUGCAACUCGCCUGCAUGAAGUUGGAGUUGCUAGUAAACGCAGGUCAGCCAUACUGCGUUGAAUACGUUCCCGGGGCUU